GACGAACGCUGGCGGCGUGCUUAACACAUGCAAGUCGAGCGACGCUCUUCCUUCGGGGAGAUGACGGAGCGGCGAACGGGUGAGUAACACGUGGGCAACCUGCCCCUAGCUCUGGGACAACACCGGGAAACCGGUGCUAAUACCGGAUACGACAUCGAGCGGCCUCUCUCGAUGUGGAAAGUUUUUUCGGCUAGGGAUGGGCCGGCGGCCUAUCAGCUUGUUGGUGGGGUAAUGGCCCACCAAGGCGACGACGGGUAGCCGGCCCGAGAGGGCGACCGGCCACACUGGGACUGAGACACGGCCCAGACUCCUACGGGAGGCAGCAGUGGGGAAUAUUGCGCAAUGGGCGAAAGCCUGACGCAGCGACGCCGCGUGAGGGAUGACGGCCUUCGGGUUGUAAACCUCUUUCAGCAGGGACGAAUUCAGACGGUACCUGCAGAAGAAGCACCGGCCAACUACGUG
rnacentral:rRNA from 1 species